rnacentral:rRNA from 1 species
UACGGAGGGUGCAAGCGUUAAUCGGAAUUACUGGGCGUAAAGCGCACGCAGGCGGUCUGUCAAGUCGGAUGUGAAAUCCCCGGGCUUAACCUGGGAACUGCAUUCGAAACUGGCAGGCUAGAGUCUUGUAGAGGGGGGUAGAAUUCCAGGUGUAGCGGUGAAAUGCGUAGAGAUCUGGAGGAAUACCGGUGGCGAAGGCGGCCCCCUGGACAAAGACUGACGCUCAGGUGCGAAAGCUAGGGGAGCGAAUGGG